UCAAAGAAAUCGUCGCUUUAGGUGAAGAAAACCAAGGGCGGGCAAACCACUCACUCAUUCCCUCCAACUCAAUCCACCAGCCUUCCCCCAAAUCCCACGACGCAGCCGGAGUCAUCUCACCUCCUCAACCGCUUGCUCGCUGCACCACGUCUGCUGCACCAGGUACUUCCCCAAACCCUAGACUGACACCGCACACUACGCCGGACCACCUCCUCUGUGCCGCUGCAUACCUCGCCGAACCACCUCUUACGCCGGACGACCAGCAAUUGCAGGAAGCAGUCCUUGAAGAGUUGAAGCUCAGAAGAAUGCCAAAAUUGAGGUAGUGAAAGACACACCUGACGAGAUUUUGUACGGUGAAGCCUUACCCAAAAGAGAUGAAAUGUGACGUUGAGGUACAGACACGACAACGGCCACUCUAACAUGGGCUUUAGCUUUACUAGUCAACCACCCUGUGGUCUUAAAAAUAGCCCAACAGAAGCUUGAAAACCAUGAUGGAAGAGAUAGGGAAGUUGAAGAGUCAGACAUGAACAACUUGGUCUAUCUUCAAGCCAUUAUCAAAGAGACAAUGCGUCUUUAUCGAGCUGCACCACUUUCUGUUCCACAUGAAUCCACAGAAGACUGCAUUGUAGGAGGUUUGAAUGUGAAAAUUAUUGUUUGAUUCUUUGUAUACUUAUGAACGUUUUGGUCCAUGAAAUUAAAAAUUUUUUUUCCUGUUUUUU